GAGCUGAGUUUUUCUUCCUUCUCCAGUUACAUCAGGCAUCUUCUAGUCUCUGAGAGUGUCAUGUUCCAUUGGUGUUUGAAAUUGUGAAUUUUAAGUGUCAAUGUGGCUAAGCUAUGGUGCCCAGCUCUUUGACCCAACACUGGCCUAAGUGGUGCCAUGAAAGUAAUUUUUGAUGUGAUUAAUACUUACAUUAGUCAAGGAGAGCACACCACCCUCAUUAAGAGAGAGGUUUUCUGAUGCAGAGGAUGCUCCUCGAAACAUAGAACUCCCGCCUGAGUCUCAGCCUGUUCUAUACUAUUUGGAUCUCAAUAUUGCAAUGCUUACUUUUAUCUGAAUUUCCAGACUGCCAGCUGACCUACAGAUUGCAAACUUGCCAUCCCUCAUGCAAUCAGGUUGCAGUAUAAAAGAGAGAAACCUCUGAAAGACUGGAUCCAUGAAGGACUGCGGUGGAGCACAGCCUCCUGCUCAUGUAUGUGGGACAGAAAGUUGUGUCAAGAAUGAAGAUGAAGAGAACUGCAGAUUUCAAAACUAAGAGAUAAAAGAAACAACCAGCAGGAGAUCUAAUUAUUCUGCUCCUAAUCCAUAUUGUAAAAUCCUCUGCUAAUGCUAGCACCCAAGGGACCAAAGAUGUAAUCUGCUUGAACAAGUUAUUAACAAAAAA